rnacentral:rRNA from 1 species
UCUUUUCCGUAGGGUGAACCUGCGCAAGGAUCAUUACAGAGUUCAUGCCCGAAAGGGUAGACCUCCCACCCUUGUGUAUUAUUACUUUGUUGCUUUGGCGAGCUGCCUUCGGGCCUUGUAUGCUCGCCAGAGAAUACCAAAACUCUUUUUAUUAAUGUCGUCUGAGUACUAUAUAAUAGUUAAAACUUUCAACAACGGAUCUCUUGGUUCUGGCAUCGAUGAAGAACGCAGCGAAAUGCGAUAAGUAAUGUGAAUUGCAGAAUUCAGUGAAUCAUCGAAUCUUUGAACGCACAUUGCGCCCCUUGGUAUUCCGGGGGGCAUGCCUGUUCGAGCGUCAUUUCAACCCUCAAGCUUAGCUUGGUAUUGAGUCUAUGUCAGUAAUGGCAGGCUCUAAAAUCAGUGGCGGCGCCGCUGGGUCCUGAACGUAGUAAUAUCUCUCGUUACAGGUUCUCGGUGUGCUUCUGCCAAAACCCAAAUUUUUCUAUGGUUGACCUCGGAUCAGGUAGGGAUACCCGCUGAACUUAAGCAUAUCAAUAAGCGGAGGAAAGC